rnacentral:tRNA from 1 species
GGGGAUUUAGUUCAGUGGUAGAGCGCUUGCCUAGCAAGCGCAAGGCCCUGAGUUCAGUCCCCA